AGCCCUGUCGUCUAGCGGCCAAGGAUAUCGGACUCUGGAUCCGGUGACCGAGGUUCAAAUCCUCGCAGGGCUA
rnacentral:tRNA from 1 species